rnacentral:rRNA from 1 species
UAGUAAUCGCGGAUCAGCAUGCCGCGGUGAAUACGUUCCCGGGCCUUGUACACACCGCCCGUCACACCAUGGGAGUUUGUAACACCCGAAGUCUGUAGUCUAACCGUAAGGAGGACGCAGCCGAAGGUGGGAUAAGCGACUGGGGUGAAGUCGUAACAAGGUACC